GUGUUUACAAGCAGCCUGAAUUCCAAUGAGUUUCUCGCCAGUUGGCCACCAAGGAGAUGGUUGGGGCUGAGUGGAGACCACAGCUCUGGGCACGGGCGUCCGCACGAACAAAGGAGAGGGACCCUGCUCCUGUCCCCCCAGCCACGCAGAAGAUUUCCCCGGGGAGGGGGCUUACCCUCUGCGGGCGCCGAGCCCCGCCCACAAGCCUGGCGUGUCCGCACCCACGGGGCGGCGUGCGCGCGCCCUCUGGAUCCGUGCCCGGGGCGGGCCAUCCGGAGCGCUGCGACCGUUUUCGCGAGGAGGAGGAGCUGGUGUUUCCACCUGGCCGCCUCCGGAUUGUUGCUUCCCUGGUUCUCCAGGAUCUGGAAGUGGCAGCUUGUGAUUUCAAUACCAAAGAGAGCCGAGGGCGCGCAGAGGCAGAGGUCUCUUCCGGUCCUGGGGGUCACGGCAGAUCCCAGAGAAGCAGAGCCCUGACACCAGGGGGACCAGAGAAGGAAAAGCUCAUUCAGCCGGGCGGCAUAAUUAUCCCACAGAAUAAGUGCCCCGGGUACGUGGCCUCAACUCGAAAGGGCACAGCCCCCUGGGGGUCUGGCCGAAGGCAGAUUCUGGACUUGGGCUGGGAGUCUGCCUUUCUAACACGCCCAGUGAUGCUGGUGCUACAGGACCUGAGCUACAUCACAGAAGCCGGGGCAAGCCCUUGACCGGCCGGGAGAGAGGGCACCGUGACCAGCGGUGAUCUUUGGAUUCUGCGUGGAGCAGGGACAGCCCUGGGCCUUGAAGGCCGGGCAGAAUGGGUGUCGUACCGGUUGCUGGGGCAACGUUCCAUUUUCCUCCAAGCAGAGGUCCGACUUGUGCUGACCCCGUUGGUGAAAACCGAAGGAAAGACGGAUGGACGGACCGGGGAUGCUCGUCCUCGCUUAAUUCAACCGGAUUCAUCAGAGACACUGGCGUCUGGCAAAGGAGCUACCUGGGGGCUUUGCGGGGGUGGAGGCGGGCUUUUUCAGCCGGCCGAGCUCCUGCCAGUGAGGACAGAGCUGUGUGCGGCUGAGACGGAGUCAGAUAGCUUUGCCUUUGGGCCACCACUGGGGUCCCUUGCCUUCCAAGGGCAAAGUUUGUGCUUUUAGAAAUCUCUUACCACGGAAGCGAUUAGCCAGCCGGACCUGUUGUCCUUUUGCAAGCAGCAAAUUACCCGGGAAAAUGUAAUUACCCACUCACUCUGUUAUUAGUGCACAGCUACGAAGAUACUGAAGCAAUGGCCCCUUUCAUGGUAUUUCAAAGCUCACUCCCACGAUGCGUCCCUGAUAUUACACACAAUGAGACUUUUUUGAAUUCAAUUAAGCAUUUGCCUACUGUGACUCUUUAUUCCUUGCAAAUUGUCUCAGUAAAUAAUCUUCAUCAAAAGUCAGAACCAAUCCCCAUUAGUUGUUUAGAUUAAUUAAUGGAUCCCCCCCCCCCACCCCCCCCCGGAGCCACCCAAAUGAAUUCAAUUCGAACGUCAACAACUUGACCACGGAGUUUCCCAGGUUGGCAUUAAGACAAUAUUAAACCUGGAAUCAGUCACAUUUAAAAUGUUAAUUCAGAGAAGCUCUCCAUUUAGAGCAUUUAAUUAAAUCCUUAAAUAAACUGCAUGGGCUCAGUACCA
rnacentral:lncRNA from 1 species